rnacentral:rRNA from 1 species
AUACGGAGGAUCCGAGCGUUAUCCGGAUUUAUUGGGUUUAAAGGGUGCGCAGGCGGCCAUUUAAGUCAGCGGUUAAAUCGUGGGGCUCAACCCCAUUCUGCCGUUGAUACUGGGUGGCUUGAUUGCGGUCGAGGUUGGCGGAAUUCGUUGUGUAGCGGUGAAAUGCAUAGAUAUGACGAAGAACACCGAUUGCGUAGGCAGCUGACCAGACCGCAAAUGACGCUCAUGCACGAAAGUGCGGGGAUCGAACAGGAUUAGAUACCCUGGUAGUCCGCACAGUAAACGAUGAAUACUUGUUUUCGGCGAUAUAAUGUCGGAGGCAAAGCGAAAGCGAUAAGUAUUCCACCUGGGGAGUACGUCGGCAACGGUGAAACUCAAAUGAAUUGACGGG